rnacentral:rRNA from 1 species
UAUCCUGGCUCAGAUUGAACGCUGCGGCAUGCCUUACACAUGCAAGUCGAACGGUAACAGGUCUUCGGAUGCUGACGAGUGGCGAACGGGUGAGUAAUACAUCGGAACGUGCCCAAUCGUGGGGGAUAGCUCGGCGAAAGCCGGAUUAAUACCGCAUACGAUCUACGGAUGAAAGCAGGGGAUCGCAAGACCUUGCGCGAAUGGAGCGGCCGAUGGCAGAUUAGGUAGUUGGUGGGGUAAAGGCUCACCAAGCCGACGAUCUGUAGCUGGUCUGAGAGGACGACCAGCCACACUGGGACUGAGACACGGCCCAGACUCCUACGGGAGGCAGCAGUGGGGAAUUUUGGACAAUGGGCGCAAGCCUGAUCCAGCAAUGCCGCGUGCAGGAUGAAGGCCUUCGGGUUGUAAACUGCUUUUGUACGGAACGAAAAGGCUCUGGUUAAUACCUGGGGCUCAUGACGGUACCGUAAGAAUAAGCACCGGCUAACUACGUG